AUGUCUCAAAAAAACACUCAACGCCCGAUCCAGAUCCCCAAUCCCGUCUCCGCUCCCACCUCCUCUCCUCCUCUCCCAAGCCCCAACCCACCAUGGAGGGGGAGCCGCCCGCGCAGCCCCCCCCCAAGCGCCACCACCGCCUACGGCUCGCCCCGCCGCAGGGUGUGGAAGCGGUGCGUCCACUCCGGCCAGCACGACAGCGCCACCCGGGGCCAUGCCACCGCCGCCGACUUCGCGCCCGUGCCCAGGAUGUGCCGCCUCGUCAUGGCCAACUACGCCCCGCCCGACCUCCUCUCUUGCCACCCCCUCGACCCCUCAAACAUCGUGCGCCGCCGCACCUACGCCGACACGGGGGGCCGGGUCACGCCCUACCUCGUCUACCUCGACCACGCGCACGCUGACUUCGUGCUCACGCUGCGCGGCCUCAACCUCGGCCGCGAGUCCGACUAUGCGUUGCUCCUCGGCAAGGUUGGCGCCGCGAGUCCGACUACGAGCCUAAACCAUGUCCACAACGGCCUCCUCCGCGCCGCCGGCUGGGUGCUCGACAGGGAGUGCGACCUGCUCCGGGACCUCGUCGAUCGGUACCCUGCCUACACGCUCACCUUCACAGGCCACUCCCUCGGCGCCGGCGUCACCGCCAUGCUCACCAUGGUCGUCGUGCUCAACCUCGACAAGCUCGGCAAGGUCGAGAGGGGCCGCACCAGGUGCUACGCCAUGGCCCCCGCCCGCUGUAUGUCGCUCAACCUCGCCGUCAGAUACGCCGAUAUCAUCAACUCCGUUGUGCGGCAGGUGACUCACUGA
rnacentral:rRNA from 1 species